CUUUGUAGCACGCCAAUCCAGCUCAGCAACUAGUGUCAGAAGUUUGCUCACAAACAGUGAGCACUUACGAGAAGAUAGAACCUGGAAAAUGCAGGUCUUUGUGGUAUGAACUUUAACAAAACAGCUAUAAAGAGGUAAUAGGAAUGAACAGUACAUCACAUAAAGCACAGCAAAGAAGGAAAAGAGGGAACUCCACCACUGAUUGCACAACCCAAAGUGCUGUAGCUCUAAACAGAAGUGACUUUCUUGCUGGUACUUGGUGCCUCUCAGCUGAAGUGAUUUCCUUCAUAUACAAGGAUUUUGGGAAGUCUUUUUUGCUUGCUGGCUCAAAUCCUACUGCGCAUUCUUUUUGUCAACCUUGCAAAUAUUUUGGAUAAGUUUGGAUAUUUGGAUCCAAAUAUUUUGGCUUCACCAAAGCCUAUUCCAAGAGUGAGGCCACUGGAGUAUUCAAGGAUGCACAACCAUUUCCUAGGCAGAAGUUCUUUCCCAGAUGUUCAGUUUGACCUGGGGCAACUCAAUCAAAGUCUGUAAGGUUUCCAACAUUUCUAGUGGGGAUUUAUUUUUAAAAAUGUGGCAUAUGGAUUUUUCUGGCAAUAAUGAAAUAUAG
rnacentral:lncRNA from 1 species